rnacentral:rRNA from 1 species
AACGAACGCUGGCGGCAGGCCUAACACAUGCAAGUCGAACGCCCGUAGCAAUACGGGAGUGGCAGACGGGUGAGUAACGCGUGGGAACGUGCCCUUCGGUUCGGAAUAACUCAGGGAAACUUGAGCUAAUACCGGAUACGUCCGUAAGGAGAAAGAUUUAUCGCCGAAGGAUCGGCCCGCGUCGGAUUAGCUAGUCGGUGAGGUAACGGCCCACCAAGGCGACGAUCCGUAGCUGGUCUGAGAGGANGAUCAGCCACACUGGGACUGAGACACGGCCCAGACUCCUACGGGAGGCAGCAGUGGGGAAUAUUGGACAAUGGGCGAAAGCCUGAUCCAGCCAUGCCGCGUGAGUGAAGAAGGCCUUAGGGUUGUAAAGCUCUUUCAGCGGGAAGAUAAUGACGGUACCCGCAGAAGAAGCCCCGGCUAACUUCGUGCCAGCCGCCGCAGUAAC